UACGAAGGGGGCUAGCGUUGCUCGGAAUCACUGGGCGUAAAGCGCACGUAGGCGGGUCGUUAAGUCAGGGGUGAAAUCCUGGAGCUCAACUCCAGAACUGCCCCUUGAUACUGGCGAUCUCGAGUUCGGGAGAGGUGAGUGGAACUGCGAGUGUAGAGGUGAAAUUCGUAGAUAUUCGCAAGAACACCAGUGGCGAAGGCGGCUUACUGGUCCGGUUCUGGACGCUGAGGCGCGAAAGCGUGGGGAGCAAACGGGG
rnacentral:rRNA from 1 species